rnacentral:rRNA from 1 species
ANCAGCCGCGGUAAUUCCAGCUCCNAUAGCGUAUAUUAAAGUUGUUGCAGUUAAAAAGCUCGUAGUUGAAUUUCGGGGUCAGCAGGUUGGUCGUGCCUCCUGGUACGCACUGGUUUCGCUGAUUCCUCCUUUCUGAAGACCGGUAAUGUCAUUAAUUUGGUGUUGCAGGGAAACAGGACUGUUACUUUGAAAAAAUUAGAGUGUUUAAAGCAAGCUAACGCUUGAAUACAUUAGCAUGGAAUAAUGAAAUAGGACGUUUGAUCCUAUUUUGUUGGUUUCUAGGAUUGACGUAAUGAUUAAUAGGGAUAGUUGGGGGCAUUAGUAUUCAAUUGUCAGAGGUGAAAUUCUUGGAUUUAUUGAAGACUAACUACUGCGAAAGCAUUUGCCAAGGAUGUUUUCAUUAAUCAAGAACGAAAGUUAGGGGAUCGAAGACGAUCAGAUACCGUCGUAGUCUUAACCAUAAACUAUGCCGACUAGGGAUCGGAUGAUGUUAAUUUUUUAAUGACUCA